UCAAGUUUUUAAGAGCACAGGGUGAAUGCCUUGGCACUAGGAGCCGAAGAAGGACGUAGGAGCCUGCGAUAAGCCUCGGGGAGUUGGCAACCGAACUGCGAUCCGAGGAUUUCCGAAUGGGGAAACCCGGCUGGAGUCAUGUCCAGUCACCCAUGCCUGAACACAUAGGGCAUGUGGAGGGAACGUGGGGAAGUGAAACAUCUCAGUACCCACAGGAAGAGAAAGUAACCACGAUUCCGUGAGUAGUGGCGAGCGAAAGCGGAUCCCGUACGAAUCUGGAGGGACCACCCUCUAAGCCUAAAUACUACCUAGUGACCGAUAGCGGACCAGUACCGUGAGGGAAAGGUGAAAAGUACCCCGGGAGGGGAGUGAAAUAGUACCUGAAACCGUGUGCUUACAAGCCGUUGAAGCCUUAAGGGGUGACAGCGUGCCUUUUGAAGAAUGAGCCUGCGAGUUAGCGUUACGUGGCGAGGUUAACCCGAGAGGGGCAGCCAUAGCGAAAGCGAGUCUGAACAGGGCGAACAAGUCGCGUGACCUAGACCCGAAGCGAAGUGAUCUAUCCAUGGCCAGGUUGAAGCGCGGGUAAGACCGCGUGGAGGACCGAACCCACCAGGGUUGAAAACCUGGGGGAUGAGCUGUGGAUAGGGGUGAAAGGCCAAUCAAACUUCGUGAUAGCUGGUUCUCCCCGAAAUGCAUUUAGGUGCAGCGUCAUGUGUUUCUUACCGGAGGUAGAGCUACUGGAUGGCCAAUGGGCCCCACAAGGUUACUGACGUCAACUAAACUCCGAAUGCCGGUAAGUGAGAGCAUGGCAGUGAGACUGCGGGGGAUAAGCUUCGUAGUCGAAAGGGAAACAGCCCAGAUCACCGGCUAAGGCCCCUAAGCGUGUGCUAAGUGGAAAAGGAUGUGGAGUUGCCCAGACAACCAGGAGGUUGGCUUAGAAGCAGCCACCCUUGAAAGAGUGCGUAAUAGCUCACUGGUCAAGUGAUUCCGCGCCGAGCGUCGUGUGGCGAGCGAAGCAGCGGGGUAACCCAGCUGUGGACGCCACACGAGUGAGAAUGCAGGCAUGAGUAGCGAAAGACGGGUGAGAAACCCGUCCGCCGAAUGACCAAGGGUUCCAGGGCCAGGUUAAUCCGCCCUGGGUAAGUCGGGACCUAAGGCGAGGCCGACAGGCGUAGUCGAUGGACAACGGGUUGAUAUUCCCGUACCGGCGAAAAACCGUCCAUGCCGAAUGUGAGGAAGCUAAGUGCCCGAAGCGACGUCGCCGCCUUGUGCGGUGUAGUUCGUGGAGCGCACGACCCGAUUCAUUAGUAGGCAAGCGUAUUAACAGGAGUGACGCAGAAGGGUAGCCACCGCGUGCGCGAUGGUAGUCCACGUCCAAGGGUGUAGGGCGAAGUGUAGGCAAAUCCGCACUUCAUGAAGCCUGAGACCUGAUGGUGACAGCAAUAGCUGGAAGAGGGUGAUCCCAUGCUGCCGAGAAAAGCUUCGACGCGAGGUUUCAGCCGCCCGUACCCUAAACCGACUCAGGUGGUCAGGUAGAGAAUACCAAGGCGAUCGAGAGAAUCGUGGUUAAGGAACUCGGCAAAAUGCCCCCGUAACUUCGGGAGAAGGGGGGCCUGAAGGGUGUACUCACUUGCUGAGGAAGCCCAGAGGGCCGCAGAGACCAGGGAGAAGCGACUGUUUACUAAAAACACAGGUCCGUGCGAAGUCGUAAGACGAUGUAUACGGACUGACGCCUGCCCGGUGCUGGAACGUUAAGGGGACGGGUUAGUCGAAAGGCGAAGCUCAGAACUUAAGCGCCAGUAAACGGCGGUGGUAACUAUAACCAUCCUAAGGUAGCGAAAUUCCUUGUCGGGUAAGUUCCGACCUGCACGAAUGGCGUAACGGACGGAAAGACCCCGGGACCUUCACUACAGUUUGGUAUUGGUCUUCGGCAUGGCUUGUGUAGGAUAGGUGGGAGACUGUGAAACAUUCACGCCAGUGAGUGUGGAGUCAUCGUUGAAAUACCACUCUGGUCAUACUGGAGGCCUAACUUCGGUCCGUAAUCCGGAUCAGGGACAGUGCCUGAUGGGUAGUUUAACUGGGGCGGUUGCCUCCCAAAAGGUAACGGAGGCGCUCAAAGGUUCCCUCAUCCUGGUUGGCAAUCAGGUGUUGAGUGUAAGUGCACAAGGGAGCUUGACUGCGAGACUGACAAGUCGAGCAGGGACGAAAGUCGGAACUAGUGACCCGGCCAUGGUUCGUGGAAACGUGGUCGCUCAACGGAUAAAAGGUACCCCGGGGAUAACAGGCUUAUCUUGCCCAAGAGUCCAUAUCGACGGCAAGGUUUGGCACCUCGAUGUCGGCUCGUCGCAUCCUGGGGCUGGAGUCGGUCCCAAGGGUUGGGCUGUUCGCCCAUUAAAGCGGCACGCGAGCUGGGUUUAGAACGUCGUGGUGUGCCAGUUGUUCCGCCAGGAGCACCGCUGGUUAGCUACGUUCGGGAGGGAUAACCGCUGAAAGCAUCUAAGCGGGAAGCCUGCUUCAAGAUGAGGUUUCCAUGGGUUUUACCCGAGAGGCUCCCAGCUAGACUACUGGGUUGAUAGGCCGGAUGUGGAAGUGCGAACUAACGACGCAUGAAGCUGACCGGUACUAAUAAGCCAAUAACUUGACACA
rnacentral:rRNA from 1 species